rnacentral:rRNA from 1 species
UACGGAGGAUGCAAGCGUUAUCCGGAUUUAUUGGGUUUAAAGGGUGCGCAGGCGGGAGAUUAAGUCGGCGGUGAAAUUUUGCAGCUCAACUGUAAAAGUGCCUUCGAAACUGGUUUCCUUGAGUGUAGAUGAAGUAGGCGGAAUUUGUGGUGUAGCGGUGAAAUGCAUAGAUAUCACGAGGAACUCCGAUUGCGCAGGCAGCUUACUAAACUACUACUGACGCUCAGGCACGAAGGCGUGGGGAUCAAACAGGAUUAGAUACCCCCGUA